GCAGAUAUUCAAGCAAUACAACUGCUUCGACUUAGAAAAAAUCAUUUGGUUAUUCAAAAAAAAAGAGAAAAAAUAACUUCGAAUUUUCUGAACUUUCCGACCAUCUUAGUUUACGGAAAUAAUCAACAUGCGUUUUCUUUCAAUAGUUUGCGUAUUUUUAAUGUGCAUCAUUUUGUCAACAAACACAGUUCAAGGUUAUGCAAUUGGUUCUAGCUCUUCACAAUCCAGAACCAAUAUAUUUGUUGUGCCACCUCGGAAAUGUCCUAAAGGAUACAAACCCGAUCAUUUCUUUAGAUGCCAUAAAAUUAAUGCAUAAAUUGGGAAAUACAAAAUUAAUAAUAAUAUAAAAAUAUUAUUUCAAUAUUAUUUGUCAAACUCAUUUAUGUAUAAUAUAAUGAAAAUUAUAAAUUUUGUAACAUAAUUGGAAAAUAAAUGUUAAAUUAAGCUUGGCAUGAAAG